rnacentral:rRNA from 1 species
GUUUCGGCGGCCAUAGCGUGAGGGAAACGCCCGGUCACAUUCCGAACCCGGAAGCUAAGCCUCACAGCGCCGAUGGUACUGCAGGGGGGACCCUGUGGGAGAGUAGGACACCGCCGGACUU